UAUUGCUAUCCCAGAUUGUUUUUCCAUUUGAGUGAAAUAUCUUUUUCCAUCCCUUUACUUUCAGUUUUUGUCUAACAAUCUGAAGUUGGUCUCUUAUACGCAAAAUAUCUAUGAGUGGUGUUUUCCAUUCAGCUACCUUAUGCCUUCUGAUUGGACCGUUUAAUCCAUUUACAUUUAAAAUUAUUAUUAAAAGGUAUUAGAUAGAUCUGCUAUGUCUCCCAAUCUUAUGUUAAUAGAUGACCCAUGAGGCCCAGUGGCACAGGCUGCCGAUCACCUGAGCAGGAUGCUUCAGGAACAUCCCUUGUUUUUGCAAAUAAUCAUUUAUCCACUAAGUAGAGGAAGUGAGAAGUUCUAGUGCAACACCACAAUAAAAAGACAUUAUGGAAUAUCUAUUUCACUAAAGAACUGC